AGUGAACGCUGGCGGUAGGCCUAACACAUGCAAGUCGAACGGCAGCACAGUAAGAGCUUGCUCUUACGGGUGGCGAGUGGCGGACGGGUGAGGAAUACAUCGGAAUCUACUUUUUCGUGGGGGAUAACGUAGGGAAACUUACGCUAAUACCGCAUACGACCUACGGGUGAAAGCAGGGGAUCUUCGGACCUUGCGCGAUUGAAUGAGCCGAUGUCGGAUUAGCUAGUUGGCGGGGUAAAGGCCCACCAAGGCGACGAUCCGUAGCUGGUCUGAGAGGAUGAUCAGCCACACUGGAACUGAGACACGGCCCAGACUCCUACGGGAGGCAGCAGUGGGGAAUAUUGGACAAUGGGCGCAAGCCUGAUCCAGCCAUACCGCGUGGGUGAAGAAGGCCUUCGGGUUGUAAAGCCCUUUUGCUGGGAAAGAAAAGCAGCAGGUUAAUACCCCGCUGUUCUGACGGUACCCAAAGAAUAAGCACCGGCUAACUUCGUG
rnacentral:rRNA from 1 species